rnacentral:rRNA from 1 species
ACCUCCCACCCGUGUUUAUUUUACCUUGUUGCUUCGGCGGGCCCGCCUUUACUGGCCGCCGGGGGGCUUCACGCCCCCGGGCCCGCGCCCGCCGAAGACACCCUCGAACUCUGUCUGAAGAUUGAAGUCUGAGUGAAAAUAUAAAUUAUUUAAAACUUUCAACAACGGAUCUCUUGGUUCCGGCAUCGAUGAAGAACGCAGCGAAAUGCGAUACGUAAUGUGAAUUGCAAAUUCAGUGAAUCAUCGAGUCUUUGAACGCACAUUGCGCCCCCUGGUAUUCCGGGGGGCAUGCCUGUCCGAGCGUCAUUGCUGCCCUCAAGCCCGGCUUGUGUGUUGGGCCCCGUCCUCCGAUUCCGGGGGACGGGCCCGAAAGGCAGCGGCGGCACCGCGUCCGGUCCUCGAGCGUAUGGGGCUUUGUCACCCGCUCCGUAGGCCCGGCCGGCGCUUGCCGAUCAACCCAAAUUUUUAUCCAGGUUGACCUCGGAUCAGGUAGGGAUACCCGCUGAACUUAAGCAUAUCAAUAAGCGGAGGAA